CAGUGCUAGGAACCUGCGCCCGGCUGAGCUGAGCGAGGCGAGAGGAGAAAGCGAGGCCCGGGGACGGGACUGAGAGCUCUGAAAGGAGGGAGGCGGCUCCCGAGUACUCCGCGCGGGGCAGGCCCCGGCCUCGCCUCUUCGCCCAUUUUUAAGGCUCGAGUUAGAGGCCACCUCCUCCGAGAAGCCUUCGGUGACACCACCUCUCCCAGACGGUUCCCCUUUCUGAUUCCCACAGCAUUUUCCAACCAUUCACGCCGUCUUCCUUCCUCAUUGUGGUUUGGACCUUCUCGAGAAAGAAUCUGGCCUCAGUCUCCCUCUUCCACACUCAGGGACCGCCACCAUCACAGGCACUCGGUAGAUGUCUGCUGAAUGAGGAUAACUUCUACCCAACACCGUGAAGCCUGGCCCAGGGUCUGGCAUACAGAUGCCGUGUUUUCCUGGUUGCUCAUCUCGCCCACUUGCACAGCCCACCUGUGUGGCCGACUCAGGAUUGACCCACCUGCUCUCUUCAGGCCAUAUUCCCACGCAGAAGUGGGUCCCACUCCUCAGGCCUCUGUGCUGGCCCCGUCUGUGGGGUUAGCAAGCAGCCCUGCUCUCCAUUUCCAGCUCAGAAGCAACUGGAUCGUUACCUCAUUGGUGACAACUUGACUGUGCUGCCCAGAGCUGAUAAGAAACAUCACCCGGGGAAGACCAGCUGCCUCUUCCUUGCUUCCUAAUCAGGGUGGAAAUACUGCUAAAUAUAUCACAACUCUUUGCAAGCA
rnacentral:lncRNA from 1 species